CCCUUAGAUGUUCUGGGCUGCACGCGUGCUACACUGAUAUUGCCAAUAUGUCAUUCUUAUCCGAAAUGGAUUGGGUAAUCAAGUAAUGAAAUUUCAUGCUUGGAAUCGGUAAUUGCAAUUUUAUCGUGAACGAGGAAUUCCUAGUAAGCACUAGUCAUCAGCUAAUGUUGAUUAUGUCCCUGCCCUUUGUACACACCGCCCGUCGCUACUACUGAUUGGGUGUUCAAGUGAGAUGCUUAGACCCUUGUUGCAUGGUUCAUUAUUGUGCUCCGAAAGGAAAAAGUCUCAAGCUUGAGUGUCUAGAGGAAGUAAAAGUCGUAACA
rnacentral:rRNA from 1 species